UACGUAGGGUCCGAGCGUUGUCCGGAAUCAUUGGGCGUAAAGGGCGCGUAGGUGGCCCGGUCAGUUCGUGGUGAAAGCGCGGGGCUCAACCCUGCGUCGGCCAUGAAUACUGCCGCGGCUGGAGCACUGUAGAGGCAGGCGGAAUUCCGGGUGUAGCGGUGGAAUGCGUAGAGAUCCGGAAGAACACCGGUGGCGAAGGCGGCCUGCUGGGCAGUUGCUGACACUGAGGCGCGACAGCGUGGGGAGCAAACAGG
rnacentral:rRNA from 1 species